rnacentral:rRNA from 1 species
GACAGAGGUGCCAAGCGUUAGGCGGAAUCACUGGGCUUAAAGCGUGUGUAGGCGGAUUUGUAAGUACCUUGUGAAAUCCCAUGGCUCAACCAUGGAACUGCUCGGUAUACUGCGAAUCUUGAGCCACUUAGGGGCUACCGGAACAAAUGGUGGAGCGGUGAAAUGCGUAGAUAUCAUUGGAAUCGCCAAUGGUGAAAACAGGUAGCUGGGAGUGUGCUGACGCUGAGACACGAAAGCCAGGGGAGCGAACGGG